UACGUAGGGUCCGAGCGUUGUCCGGAGUUACUGGGCGUAAAGGGCGCGUAGGCGGCGUGUCAAGUCAGGCGUGAAAGCCCCGGGCUCAACCUGGGAACCGCGCUUGAGACUGGCAUGCUCGAGUUCGGGAGAGGAUGGUGGAAUUCCCAGUGUAGAGGUGAAAUUCGUAGAUAUUGGGAAGAACACCGAUGGCGAAGGCAGCUUGCUGGGACGAUACUGACGCUAAGGCUCGGAAAGCGUGGGGAGCGAACAGG
rnacentral:rRNA from 1 species